UGAGAAAUUUAAUCUUGAAGUUUAUCAUAAUGAUUUCGUCUUUUAUUACUACUUUUGGUUUAUUACCAUAUGCAUUUAUAUCGUAUAUAAAUAUGUAUUACUUUUCUGUUGCCACGAUUCUUUGUUUACACCCUCACCCCCCCCUCGCACGACUGGAAUAUUCGUUUUUUUUAACAAAUCAACUGCGCCUGCGCACAACCUGUAUGACGUCAGCUCGAAUUCCAUGAAAAGUCAGUGACAGACGACAUUUGUUUCUCUUGCAAUUUUGUCGAUUUUUGGCGAUUGUUCUAUUAAUUGAUGUCCACCUUUAAUUGAUUCUUAAUUUGAGUCAGACGAGGAGGAGUUCAGCUUCAAUUUAACAGAUAGCGUCAGGACAUUAUCACAGAGUUGUACGCAAACUCCGCUCAUACGGAAAAGGGCACCUUAAAAAACAUCCAGAAGGCAUUUGGCCAUCGCUCUGUAAACGAACAAAUGUCCAGUUUCAAUCAUACUGAUAAUUUUCUCUUGUUCAUAUCUACGUCGUUUGUAGUUGCCUUCGCACAUGAGAUAAUUCAGGAACUGGCCGAAGUCAACAAAGAUCCAGACCUCGACUCAGUGGCUGACGAAAUUCUCAGGACAUGGUUCCAAUUACCCAUGAAUCAGGUGGCGGAUACCAUUCAUGCAACCACCGAAGGAUAUGACGAUAAGGCUAGCUAUGCUUUUGCAAAGAAGGUGAAACUUUUUUGAGAGAGAUAGAGCCCAAUCUGAAUCAUAGAAGGGAGUGAGGGGAUAUAAAAUAAUGACGAAUUUUAUGGGGGUGCAAAAAUUAUUCAAAUUGAGCAAUAUCAUACAUAGUCCUUCCAUCUUAUACAUAAACC